UGCAGUCGAACGAUGAUUAUCUAGCUUGCUAGAUAUGAUUAGUGGCGGACGGGUGAGUAACAUUUAGGAAUCUGCCUAGUAGUGGGGGAUAGCUCGGGGAAACUCGAAUUAAUACCGCAUACGACCUACGGGUGAAAGGGGGCGCAAGCUCUUGCUAUUAGAUGAGCCUAAAUCAGAUUAGCUAGUUGGUGGGGUAAAGGCCCACCAAGGCGACGAUCUGUAACUGGUCUGAGAGGAUGAUCAGUCACACCGGAACUGAGACACGGUCCGGACUCCUACGGGAGGCAGCAGUGGGGAAUAUUGGACAAUGGGGGCAACCCUGAUCCAGCCAUGCCGCGUGUGUGAAGAAGGCCUUUUGGUUGUAAAGCACUUUAAGCAGGGAGGAGAGGCUAAUGGUUAAUACCCAUUAGAUUAGACGUUACCUGCAGAAUAAGCACCGGCUAACUCUGUGCCAGCA
rnacentral:rRNA from 1 species